GGUUAAGCGACUAAGCGUACACGGUGGAUGCCCUGGCAGUCAGAGGCGAUGAAGGACGUGCUAAUCUGCGAAAAGCGACGGCGAGGUGAUAUGAACCUUUGACCCGUCGAUGUCCGAAUGGGGAAACCCAGUGUGAUCCGUCACACUAUCGUUAACUGAAUACAUAGGUUAACGAGGCGAACCGGGGGAACUGAAACAUCUAAGUACCCCGAGGAAAAGAAAUCAACCGAGAUUCCCCCAGUAGCGGCGAGCGAACGGGGAGCAGCCCGGAGUCUGAAUCAGCUUGUGUGUUAGUGGAAGCGUCUGGAAAGUCGCACGGUACAGGGUGACAGUCCCGUACACGAAAAUGCACAGGUUGUGAACUCGAAGAGUAGGGCGGGACACGUGGUAUCCUGUCUGAAUAUGGGGGGACCAUCCUCCAAGGCUAAAUACUCCUGACUGACCGAUAGUGAACCAGUACCGUGAGGGAAAGGCGAAAAGAACCCCGGCGAGGGGAGUGAAAAAGAACCUGAAACCGUGUACGUACAAGCAGUGGGAGCACCUUCGGGUGUGACUGCGUACCUUUUGUAUAAUGGGUCAGCGACUUAUAUUCUGUAGCAAGGUUAACCGUAUAGGGGAGCCGCAGGGAAACCGAGUCUUAACUGGGCGUUAAGUUGCAGGGUAUAGACCCGAA
rnacentral:rRNA from 1 species